UCUUAAUUAAAAAAAAAGAUUUUAAAUACGUCAGCAAUAGUACAUAAAUAUACAAAGUCAACGAAAUAGUGAUCUUAAAAUGACAAUAAUUAUUGUAUUUGAUCAAGACUCACAGAGUGUUAACAUUGAUAUUGCUUGCCUUUUUACUCUCA